CGUAGGGUGCGAGCGUUAAUCGGAAUUACUGGGCGUAAAGCGUGCGUAGGCGGCCACUGCAAGUCGGUUGUGAAAUCUCCGGGCUUAACCCGGAAAGGUCAAUCGAUACUGCAGGGCUAGAGUGCAGAAGGGGCAACUGGAAUUCUCGGUGUAGCGGUGAAAUGCGUAGAUAUCGAGAGGAACACCUGCGGCGAAGGCGGGUUGCUGGGCUGACACUGACGCUGAAGCGCGAAAGCUAGGGGAGCGAACGGGAUUAGAUACCCCGGUAGUCCUAGCCUUAAACGAUGAAUGCUUGGUGUCUGGGGUUUUAUAGUCCCCGGGUGCCGUCGCUAACGCUUUAAGCAUUCCGCCUGGGGAGUACGGUCGCAGGACUG
rnacentral:rRNA from 1 species